UUUAGGCGACGUAGCCAGUGACAGCAGUGGAUUGUGAAUCCACCAUGCGCG
rnacentral:tRNA from 1 species